AGGACGAACGCUGGCGGCGUGCUUAACACAUGCAAGUCGAGCGGAAAGGCCCUUCGGGGUACUCGAGCGGCGAACGGGUGAGUAACACGUGAGUAACCUGCCCCUAGCUCUGGGAUAGCUCCGGGAAACCGGGAUUAAUACCAGAUACGACCACUUUAGACAUCUGUCGUGGUGGAAAGGAUUCCGGCUAGGGAUGGGCUCGCGGCCUAUCAGCUUGUUGGUGGGGUAACGGCCUACCAAGGCGACGACGGGUAGCCGGCCUGAGAGGGCGACCGGCCACACUGGGACUGAGACACGGCCCAGACUCCUACGGGAGGCAGCAGUGGGGAUAUUGCGCAAUGGGCGAAAGCCUGACGCAGCGACGCCGCGUGGGGGAUGAAGGCCUUCGGGUUGUAAACCCCUUUCAGCAGGGACGAAGCGAAAGUGACGGUACCUGCAGAAGAAGCGCCGGCUAACUACGCGCCAGCAGCCGC
rnacentral:rRNA from 1 species